rnacentral:rRNA from 1 species
GGGCCCGCACAAGCGGUGGAGCAUGUGGUUUAAUUCGAUGCAACGCGAAGAACCUUACCUGGUCUUGACAUACACAGAAUCUUGUAGAGAUACGAGAGUGCCUUCGGGAAUUGUGAUACAGGUGCUGCAUGGCUGUCGUCAGCUCGUGUCGUGAGAUGUUGGGUUAAGUCCGGCAACGAGCGCAACCCUUGUCCUUAGUUGCCAGCACAUCAUGGUGGGGACUCUAGGGAGACUGCCGGUGUUAAAUCGGAGGAAGGUGGGGACGAUGUCAAGUCAUCAUGGCCCUUACGAGUAGGGCUACACACGUGCUACAAUGGGCAGUACAGAGGGUUGCUAAGCUGCGAAGCCAAGCUAAUCCCAGAAAACUGUUCUCAGUCCGGAUUGGAGUCUGCAACUCGACUCCAUGAAGUCGGAAUCGCUAGUAAUCG